rnacentral:tRNA from 1 species
GGCUCUAUAGCUCAGUUGGUUAGAGCGUCUGCCAAGCAAGCAGGAUGUCGAGGGUUCGACUCCCCCUGGAGCCU